CACACACACAAACACGACCACUGCACAACACCCCUAUCUCCCACUCAAGCCACCACACACAUGACCGCAGCCGCCGGAGCCCGGAGCCACCCCUUCUGAGUUCUGACUUCUCCUUUCACUCAGUUCAGGAUAAGUGAUGGAUACAUGAACGAUUCUUGCAUUUACUAUAUUGAAAGGGAGUUCUUACAACGA